rnacentral:lncRNA from 1 species
UAUACAUUGAAUCCUGACAUAAAAAAUAUGGCUGAUUUACUAUGCUGGUAUAUAGAUUUACAAAUUAGAGUGAACAUAUGGUCAGUUUUGGUCUUGGUCAAUGCGGUCAAAUUAUUUCAUUGUACAAGUCAGCAUGAAGUAUCAAAACUAUUGAAAUUUUGUUACGUAUCAAUAUUUUGAAUAUAAGGAGGACAUGCUGGCACCCUAAAUUUAUGCGAAACAAAAAUUUGUUGUUAUUGUAUUGCAAUAUUGCAAUCCAUUGUAUUAUACAUU